rnacentral:rRNA from 1 species
UACAGAGGUUGCAAGCGUUGUUCGGAAUUACUGGGCGUAAAGCGUGCGCAGGCUGUUUUGUAAGUCCGAUGUGAAAUCCCCGGGCUUAACCUGGGAACUGCGGUUGAAACUACAAGGCUAGAGUGUGGCAGAGGGGGGUGGAAUUCCACGUGUAGCAGUGAAAUGCGUAGAGAUGUGGAGGAACACCGAUGGCGAAGGCAGCCCCCUGGGUUAACACUGACGCUCAGGCACGAAAGCGUGGGGAGCAAACAGG